AUAUUGUCUAUUUAACAAGACAGAUCCAUUACAGAACAUCAGUUAUUUGAAAACCCUAGUUUAUCUAUUAAACACUUACAGGAAGCCUCCAUGAAUGCUUUUGAGCCUCCGCAUGGACGAUUCCGAAAGCCUGAUGAUUGUUUCUUUAAGAACGGAGAUUUGAGUGUAUGUUCUUUGUAGUAGCCUUCUUACUAGUUGGGCUCCAAAGGCAUCAUGAUAUGAAAUGAAUUUCUUUGGAAGAUGAAAUGAAGGCUUCUUUAGUAGGGAAUUUUGUUUUGCAUGUUGCUUAGGAGUUUGUUCUGAGGAAUGAAGUUCAUUAACAUUAUUAGGGGCAGCUGUUGCUAGCUACAUUGAUGUCUGAUACAACACCAUAUAAGGUUAACAAAUGCUUGUUUGACUAGUUUUUAUUAUUAUUAUUAUUAUUAUUAUUAUUGUUAUUAUUAUUAUUAUUAUUAUUAUUAUGUUAACAUUUGAUCAAUGUUUGGUAAAAUACUUAAUCAACCAAGUUGGACCCCUGUGGCCCUGUAUAAAAAAGUAAAUGUUUAUAAUCUUGUAUUGAACAAUUUGGUCUCUCAAUUUGUAUUUAUUGGUUGGCAAUAUUAUAAAGCUGCCCAUAUUAAUUUACAGUUAUAGUCUAUAGAAUUUGCCUUUGUGAUCUUUUGUUCUCUUUGUAGGCAGACUUCUCCAUGUUUCUUUAAAAAUUGUUUUGAAGGCAGCCCUGACUUCUCUAGAUUUAGGGAUCGAGGCAGCUCUUUCAAAGCAAUAAAAAAAAGAUCAUGGAGUUGGGCCAAUCCAAAAUAACAAAAA